AAAUAUAAAUAACGUCAAAAUAGUUUUUAAUUUUUAAUUUUAUUGUUAUAUUUUUCAUCUCUCCUACCAUCCUUCAUUCGCUCGUUUUUAUCUCUCGUUUUCCCAUGUACUCUCUCUAUUAUUAACACAAAAGUAAAAAUAAUAAAUGAAUUAAUUAUCAAAUAGACCCUAAAAUAAAAGUAAUCCAAUAACGUAGAGUAAGAGGGGGGGGUGAAGAUAUCAGAAAUAUAAUUUUUUAUUUAUUUAACGAAAAUAUGAUUAAACAUAUGGGCUGUUGGAGCGUAUCUUUUAAAAGUGAUUAAGAAAAUAAAUAGACUUUGAUUUGGUAAGUACAGUUAUAUAAGUCGGAUGAACCAUCCACAUCUUAAGUUAUCACAAAAUUAUGUUGGGAUGUUCUCUCUCGACAGCAACCAAUCACCCAUCAUUCCAGGUGGGCAGAUGCAUUUGGCAUAAGCCCCCACACUUCCUUCAUUUUUUGUCUAUUCUUCUCUUCUUGUAUGUAUCCAUUUCAACCCCAAGACUUACUAAUUACCCAUCCAAAUUUACAGAUUACAAUUCAGCUUAGAUUUACAAGUACGCUCACAUAUGACAUGUUUACUUAGUUCGAAUAAGAUGGAUUACAAAAAUAAAAAAUAGGAGAGAGAAGGAAUGUGGAUGAUCAAAUUAAUUAUCCUACCCUUAUCAAUCUAGUUCCUUACUUUUUAAGUUUUGGAUUAUGAAUUGUAAUGUGGAAUUCGCAUACUUUUUUUAUUCCAUAUAUGAUAAUUACCACAUGAUCAUCAUGAAUCAGAAUAAUUUUAAUACACAUACAAAUGUAAAUACAAAUGUAAACACAAAGAAAAAUCAAUGGACUAGAGUAUACAGACAUUGGUAAAUAGGUGCAGAAGCACAAAAAAAGUAUGACGGUAAUGUAGGUAGUUGGACAGGAAGCAGGAGCACAUGGCACAUAUUUGUAGCACAUGACCUUGGCAUGGAGUGCCACAACAAACCAUUAUCUAGGUAAGACAAACAAAUGAAUUCAUAUCAAGAAAUUUCCCAUACUUUUUCACCAACCAUUUCAUAACAUGAAAAAAGUUGAGGUUCCACUAUAAAAUUAAUUGACAAUUUAUGAAGUAGUCCAAUUAUUAAUUGGGAGCUUUUGAUAUUGGUGCCUCAUUCGCCAACUUGUUUGUUUAAACAUCUAUAGGUUUUAGGUUUUAGAUUGUACCACCUCCUCUAAAUGAGGAGCCAAGUAGAUUAAAAAAAAUGAUUUCAUUUUUCUAAAAUUUACGAACAUUGUCAUUCUUUCAAGCGUUGGGAAUUUAUUUAUUUUUACCAGUAGAUUUUUUCCUUUUGAAUUUAAUAUUUCAAUUCCAUUAAAAAUUGUCAUUAUCCUUUUUAUUUUGUUGUUAUCCUUGCAAUCUGGAAGUAUUAUCUCAAUGGCUUUUGAAUUUGAAUUGUUAAUGGUUGCUUACUCAAUAUAUAACAACAAUUGUACCCAAGUUAAAUAUGAUAUACAAACCCACUUGUUACACUAAAAAUGUAUACCACUGUUAACGUACCUAUUUGGAAAACUAUCAAUAAAUUUUUAGAACGUAUCUAAUAACUUUAAACAGAUGUACCCAAUUAUUGACAAACGUACCAAAUACCUUCCAACAAAAGUACUAAAUUAUAACUUCUAACGCACCUUUUUCUUAUUAAUUUGAUUCUUGGGUGCAUUUUAUCCCAAAUGUUUUGGUAUAUUUGAAGGCAUAACAUGAUCAAUUAUUAGGUACAUUUAUUAUGCAAUGUUAUUUUGGUGCAUAUCAAUGAUUUGAGAUGUAUAAAAUACGUUUAUUAAUUUAUUCGUACCAGUUAUUUGGUACAUAAAAUAAUAAUAUUGAAAGACAAACCACUCAUAUGGUAUGUUCUAUACUGUCCAAAUGCGUUCUCCGUCCUUCGUAGAAGCAUGCCUGUUGGGCGAGGUGGUUCCUAUUUGGUAUGUUUGAAGAUAUUGCCUCCUACAAACUUCUGUUUGACUGGCUAAUGCGGCCGGGGGCACUCUCAUUUGUAGUGAUAUCAUUUUUGCCAUACCAAACUAAGGGUUGCUCACCAAGCAUCAUGCCCCCAGAUCAAAAGCAUCGGUUAGAGAACAAGGAAAGAAAUCUGUUGAAGAAGAGUAGGAAAAAAAAAAUAAUUAAACAACAACUUACCAGCCGCACCCACAAGUAGCAGAAAACAUCGAAAACAUCAAGCAGCAAGAAACCUAAAAUACCUCAAAAGAGGAUUACUAUUCAAAUGUGAAUUACUAUUCAAAUGUGAAUUAAUAAAUUUAUGAAAGCAACCACUAAUUCAAAUGGAAGAGCCAUCCAAAUUUUAGACGUGAGAAUGAAUCUGGAUAAACACAACUAAUAAUUAAAAAAAAUAUCCCUGAAUAAAAGGCCAUGCCAGGAAAAAUGAAAAUGAAAAACCUCCGAAGAGGAGGAUAAAUUCGGAAUUCAAUAUGUAGCAUUUUAAUUUGGAGAAAUAUAGUAAUGAUAUAAAAAUUGAUUAAAUAAAAAAAAAACUGAUGUGGCACCUAGUCAAAGCACCUUAAUCAUAAUUUGAAAAGGCAUAGAUGUUUGAUCAAAACAAUGUAAAAUUUAAGCACCUUAAUUUAAUUAUCCCUUAUUAAUUAUAAGCACAUGCAAUAUUUUACUCCCCAAUGUGGGACUCAUACGUACUCUCAACAGGCUCCCUCAUGUGUGGUGAAUUUUCAAGCCUAAUACAUGAACAACAUAAAUGGGGUAAUGUGAAGUGCAUGUGGCCGUUGGUUUUCACAUGCAGGACAACUUGCUCUAAUACCAUGAAGAAAGUUGAGGUUCUAUCAUAAAAUCAAUUGGCAAUAUAAAGAGUAGACCAAUUACUUAUAAGCACAUAUAAGUCUCUUUUAUCCUCGAUGUCAGAUUCAUACUCUCAAUAUGGAACAAUAAUUCACUCAUAUAAAGAAAUUUCCCUUAUUUUACACAUCAAAUGAUUUCUCUCAAGUGUGAGGUAAUGAUAUAUAGCAGUCUUACUCAAACUUCUCUUCCACAUUGAAAUUAGAGAAGAUAAUAUGAUUUUUUUUUCCUCUUCAUAAAAGCUAAAACUGCAAUUUUUUAUUUAGGGUCGGUUUGAUAAUUAUUUUGUUUUACGUUUUUAUAUAUUAGUUUUUAGUUUUCAAACUACUUUCAAUUUUCUGAAAACCAAAAAGUGAAAACUUAAAGCCGAAUUUUGAAAACUCAAUAAAGUAGUUUCUGUUGCAGUCCUGAUUAGGUUAGGAAUAUGAUUGUUUAAAUCCUAAGAAAUCCUUAUAGGAUUCUAUCAUAUCUUUUAGAUGGUAUCCUUGUUUAAGUGGUAAUACGUAAAGGGUAAGAAAUUUACUUCCCUACUACUAUAAAUAAAGGCAUAAUGAGGGUGAGAAAGCACACCACAUAAGUCUUUCUAUGCUUGCCACACUCUCUCUCUAUGCUUGCUGCACCCUUUCUCUCAAUCUCUCAAUAAUACAUCAGUUAGAUAGGCCAUAUAAUACAUUAUCAUCACACUUUUGACGCUACGCUAAAGAGAGUUUGUUCAUAUUUCAGGGGAUUAUUAUGUUCUAAUCAUUAUUAUUAUGAUUUACUUUUUAUAUAUUGAAUUAAUGUACUUCUAUUGAUUCAAUUUACUUUUUCUGUGUUGAACGUGAUAGAACGCAUCAGAGCUGAAAUUCUAGAUUCCUAGAAGGAUUUUCUACAAAUUCAAAGGCUCAAUUUCGUUUUCUGCAAAUCAGAUUCUCCUAAAGUACAAGUUUGAUAUUUUCUUCGAUCUGAAGCAUAAACACAUUCCCCAUGAUGCAUGAACCCUUGAUAUAUAUUUUUGCUAUAUAUAUAGGGAAUUGUUAUUAGCACUCCAAAAAUCUCAUUCUACACUCCAAACAUUUUAUAUUAGGAAAGAAAAAUACACUUGUGAGGAGUGUAGAAUGAGAAUUUUGGAGUGUCAAUAAUACUUCCAUAUAUAUAUAUAUAUUGUAUAUUGCAUAUAUAUGUCAACAUAUAUAUGUUCAUGCAUAUACAAUUUAUAAUUGCUAUGUGGUAUUAUUGUGAGUCAAUGAAACGAAAGAAAAUAGAAACAUGAAUUUUUGGGUUUGAAAACUCUAGAAUUAGAAAGAAAAAAAUAAAUAAAUAUGGGACAUAGCGUUGGGUCGUAACUUUAAGCCGCGCCGAGCCAGACA
rnacentral:lncRNA from 1 species